UCUCAAGUUCGAAUCCCCUCCUCAAAGACAAAUAAAAAACCAACCUUCUUAAUCAAACCUACCACGUAAGAAAUCCAAAUCGACCCAAUCAAAAUCCUCCACGUCAUCACCGGACCCCACAAGAAAAUCCAGCUAGACAUCUUGAGUGCCACUAUUACUAAACCAAACCAAAUACCAAAGCUUCUCAAUCAAACCCUAAUUCUCUUACAGAAAAUCAAAACUCAAAGAGCUUUGAAUUCUUCUCGAGCCAUGUCCGGAAUCGGAAACGAACAAGCUCCGUUCACCGCCAACGGAAACGGCGUCGUUUCAGGUCACGAAACCAUCAGGUUGAGAGUGAAGCCUAGUAAGGAUCACAAGCCGGACAGUUACGAAGACUUGCAACAACACCUGGAAUUCAGUCCCUUGCUCUUCAGCUCGCUCGAGCGGUAUCUUCCUCAGUCUAUGCUCAAUGACACUCGUGAAUCUAAGCUCGGGUAUAUGAGUACUAUCUUGCGUCGCUACUCGUCUAAUGGCGAACGUCUUCGUGUUCACAGGCAUAAAGAAUAUAAGCAGAAGAUAAUGGCGAAUUACCAGCCUCUACACAGGGAGCUAUAUGCAAUGCACGCCGAAAACUUCUUUGUACCUUCGUUUCUUAGAGCAAUUAGUGAAAAUACAGAGGAGAGUUUUAGGAGUAUGAUUAUUGAACCGUCUCAGGGAGUGUAUAUAUUUGAGAUGCUUCAACCGCGUUUUUGUGAACUAUUGUUUGAUGAGGUGGAAAAUUUUGAAAGAUGGGUUCAUGAUACUAAGUUCAGAAUCAUGCGGCCAAACACAAUGAAUAAAUAUGGUGCUGUCCUUGAUGACUUUGGAAUGGAGUCCAUGCUUGAUAAGCUAAUGAAUGAGUUUAUACGACCUAUGUCUAAAGUUUUCUUCUCUGAUGUUGGCGGAUCAUCAUUGGACUUGCAUCAUGGUUUUGUUGUCGAAUAUGGAAUGGACAGAGAUGUUGAACUUGGCUUCCAUGUAGAUGAUUCUGAAGUUACCUUGAAUGUUUGUUUGGGUAAGCAAUUUUCUGGUGGAGAAUUGUUUUUUCGAGGUGUCCGAUGUGAACAACAUGUCAACUCAGAGACCCAACCAGAGGAAAGCUUCGACUAUUCUCAUGUUCCUGGCCGUGCAGUUCUUCAUCGUGGUCGUCAUCGACAUGGUGCUAGAGCAACAACUUCAGGAAAUCGGAUUAACUUGAUUUUAUGGUGUAGAAGUUCGGGCUACAGAGAGCUGAAGAAAUAUCAAAAGGACGCUUGUUCAAGCUGGUGUGGAGAGUGCCAACGUCAGAAGAAAGAAAGGCAUCGUCGAACAAUUACAGAAACCAAAUUGGAAAUACUAAAGAGGAAUGGAAAGUUUACCGCUUAAUCUUGUUUCUGCAUUGCAAGUUUUGGUUAUGAAAUUUUGACAGGUUUUGCAAUGGUCUCUACUACCGGUGAUGAUGAGUGGUCCAUAUCCUUGUAAAAUCUUUUUCAAAAGUGAGAAUCUAUCUGUGAUUUGCAUUGUCUGCAACAUCUUUCAUUUUGAAUAAUUAAAAUAUAUUUAGGAAAAACCCCAACACAGAUUUGAUCUUGUCUGUUUGUAUAGAUUGUUGUUAUGUUUCACCAUGUGAAUUUGGGACUCGGAAAUGUAAUGGUCCCCUACUAUAAUUUCUUUGAUGCUCACCCUUACUCGGAGCUUAGCUUUU